rnacentral:rRNA from 1 species
GGGGCCCGCACAAGCGGCGGAGCAUGUGGAUUAAUUCGAUGCAACGCGAAGAACCUUACCUGGGUUUGACAUACACCGGAAAACCGUAGAGAUACGGUCCCCCUUGUGGUCGGUGUACAGGUGGUGCAUGGCUGUCGUCAGCUCGUGUCGUGAGAUGUUGGGUUAAGUCCCGCAACGAGCGCAACCCUUGCCUUAUGUUGCCAGCACGUGAUGGUGGGGACUCGUAAGAGACUGCCGGGGUCAACUCGGAGGAAGGUGGGGACGACGUCAAGUCAUCAUGCCCCUUAUGUCCAGGGCUUCACACAUGCUACAAUGGCCAGUACAGAGGGCUGCGAGACCGUGAGGUGGAGCGAAUCCCUUAAAGCUGGUCUCAGUUCGGAUCGGGGUCUGCAACUCGACCCCGUGAAGUCGGAGUCGCUAGUAAUCGCAGAUCAGCAACGCUGCGGUGAAUACGUUCCCGGGCCUU